ACUAAGCGUACACGGUGGAUGCCCUGGCAGUCAGAGGCGAUGAAGGACGUGCUAAUCUGCGAAAAGCGUCGGUAAGGUGAUAUGAACCGUUAUAACCGGCGAUGUCCGAAUGGGGAAACCCAGUGCAAUUCGUUGCACUAUCGUUAACUGAAUACAUAGGUUAACGAGGCGAACCGGGGGAACUGAAACAUCUAAGUACCCCGAGGAAAAGAAAUCAACCGAGAUUCCCCCAGUAGCGGCGAGCGAACGGGGAGCAGCCCAGAGUCUGAAUCAGCUUGUGUGUUAGUGGAACGGUCUGGAAAGUCCGACGGUACAGGGUGAUAGUCCCGUACACCAAAAUGCACAGGUUGUGAACUCGAAGAGUAGGGCGGGACACGUGGUAUCCUGUCUGAAUAUGGGGGGACCAUCCUCCAAGGCUAAAUACUCCUGACUGACCGAUAGUGAACCAGUACCGUGAGGGAAAGGCGAAAAGAACCCCGGCGAGGGGAGUGAAAAAGAACCUGAAACCGUGUACGUACAAGCAGUGGGAGCACCUUCGGGUGUGACUGCGUACCUUUUGUAUAAUGGGUCAGCGACUUAUAUUCUGUAGCAAGGUUAACCGUAUAGGGGAGCCGCAGGGAAACCGAGUCUUAACUGGGCGUUAAGUUGCAGGGUAUAGACCCGAAACCCGGUGAUCUAGCCAUGGGCAGGUUGAAGGUUGGGUAACACUAACUGGAGGACCGAACCGACUAAUGUUGAAAAAUUAGCGGAUGACUUGUGGCUGGGGGUGAAAGGCCAAUCAAACCGGGAGAUAGCUGGUUCUCCCCGAAAGCUAUUUAGGUAGCGCCUCGUGAAUUCAUCUUCGGGGGUAGAGCACUGUUUCGGCUAGGGGGUCAUCCCGACUUACCAACCCGAUGCAAACUACGAAUACCGAAGAAUGUUAUCACGGGAGACACACGGCGGGUGCUAACGUCCGUCGUGAAGAGGGAAACAACCCAGACCGCCAGCUAAGGUCCCAAAGUCAUGGUUAAGUGGGAAACGAUGUGGGAAGGCACAGACAGCCAGGAUGUUGGCUUAGAAGCAGCCAUCAUUUAAAGAAAGCGUAAUAGCUCACUGGUCGAGUCGGCCUGCGCGGAAGAUGUAACGGGGCUAAACCAUGCACCGAAGCUGCGGCAGCGACACUAUGUGUUGUUGGGUAGGGGAGCGUUCUGUAAGCCUGCGAAGGUGACCUGUGAGGGUUGCUGGAGGUAUCAGAAGUGCGAAUGCUGACAUAAGUAACGAUAAAGCGGGUGAAAAGCCCGCUCGCCGGAAGACCAAGGGUUCCUGUCCAACGUUAAUCGGGGCAGGGUGAGUCGACCCCUAAGGCGAGGCCGAAAGGCGUAGUCGAUGGGAAACAGGUUAAUAUUCCUGUACUUGGUGUUACUGCGAAGGGGGGACGGAGAAGGCUAUGUUAGCCGGGCGACGGUUGUCCCGGUUUAAGCAUGUAGGCUGGUUGUCCAGGCAAAUCCGGAUAAUCAAGGCUGAGGUGUGAUGACGAGGUACUACGGUGCUGAAGUAACAAAUGCCCUGCUUCCAGGAAAAGCCUCUAAGCAUCAGGUAACAUUAAAUCGUACCCCAAACCGACACAGGUGGUCAGGUAGAGAAUACCAAGGCGCUUGAGAGAACUCGGGUGAAGGAACUAGGCAAAAUGGUGCCGUAACUUCGGGAGAAGGCACGCUGGUGUGUAGGUGAAGUCCCUGCGGAUGGAGCUGAGACCAGUCGAAGAUACCAGCUGGCUGCAACUGUUUAUUAAAAACACAGCACUGUGCAAACACGAAAGUGGACGUAUACGGUGUGACGCCUGCCCGGUGCCGGAAGGUUAAUUGAUGGGGUUAUCCGUAAGGAGAAGCUCUUGAUCGAAGCCCCGGUAAACGGCGGCCGUAACUAUAACGGUCCUAAGGUAGCGAAAUUCCUUGUCGGGUAAGUUCCGACCUGCACGAAUGGCGUAAUGAUGGCCAGGCUGUCUCCACCCGAGACUCAGUGAAAUUGAACUCGCUGUGAAGAUGCAGUGUACCCGCGGCAAGACGGAAAGACCCCGUGAACCUUUACUAUAGCUUGACACUGAACAUUGAGCCUUGAUGUGUAGGAUAGGUGGGAGGCUUUGAAGCGUGGACGCCAGUCUGCGUGGAGCCAACCUUGAAAUACCACCCUUUAAUGUUUGAUGUUCUAACGUUGGCCCCUUACCGGGGUUGCGGACAGUGUCUGGUGGGUAGUUUGACUGGGGCGGUCUCCUCCCAAAGCGUAACGGAGGAGCACGAAGGUUAGCUAAUCCUGGUCGGACAUCAGGAGGUUAGUGCAAUGGCAUAAGCUAGCUUGACUGCGAGCGUGACGGCGCGAGCAGGUGCGAAAGCAGGUCAUAGUGAUCCGGUGGUUCUGAAUGGAAGGGCCAUCGCUCAACGGAUAAAAGGUACUCCGGGGAUAACAGGCUGAUACCGCCCAAGAGUUCAUAUCGACGGCGGUGUUUGGCACCUCGAUGUCGGCUCAUCACAUCCUGGGGCUGAAGUAGGUCCCAAGGGUAUGGCUGUUCGCCAUUUAAAGUGGUACGCGAGCUGGGUUUAGAACGUCGUGAGACAGUUCGGUCCCUAUCUGCCGUGGGCGCUGGAGAAUUGAGGGGGGCUGCUCCUAGUACGAGAGGACCGGAGUGGACGCAUCACUGGUGUUCGGGUUGUCAUGCCAAUGGCACUGCCCGGUAGCUAAAUGCGGAAGAGAUAAGUGCUGAAAGCAUCUAAGCACGAAACUUGCCCCGAGAUGAGUUCUCCCUGAGACUUUAAGUCUCCUGAAGGAACGUUGAAGACGACGACGUUGAUAGGCCGGGUGUGUAAGCGCAGCGAUGCGUUGAGCUAACCGGUACUAAUGAACCGUGAGGCUUAACC
rnacentral:rRNA from 1 species